ACGAGAAAGUGGAGCAAUCCAUGAGUAAAGUGGCGUACGGGUGAGUAACACGUGGAUCAUUUACCUCUUGGUGGGGAAUAACCCUGGGAAACCGGGGCUAAUACCGCAUAAGCCUGCGAAGGGAAAGCAGCAAUGCGCCGAGAGAGGAGUCCGCGGCCGAUUAGCUUGUUGGUAGGGUAAUGGCCUACCAAGGCAAUGAUCGGUAGCCGGCCUGAGAGGGCACACGGCCACACUGGCACUGAAACACGGGCCAGACUCCUACGGGAGGCAGCAGUGGGGAAUCUUGCACAAUGGGGGCAACCCUGAUGCAGCGACGCCGCGUGAGCGAUGAAGCCCUUCGGGGUGUAAAGCUCUUUCGGCAGGAAAGAUAAUGACGGUACCUGCAGAAGAAGCUGCGGCUAACUACGUGCCAGCAGCCGCGGUAAUACGUAGGCAGCAAGCGUUGUUCGGAGUUACUGGGCGUAAAGGGUGCGUAGGCGGUUUGGCAAGUCUGAUGUGAAAUCUAUGGGCUCAACCCAUAGUCUGCAUCAGAAACUGCCGGGCUUGAGUAUGGGAGAGGUGAGUGGAAUUUCCGGUGUAGCGGUGAAAUGCGUAGAUAUCGGAAGGAACACCUGUGGCGAAAGCGGCUCACUGGACCAUAACUGACGCUGAUGCACGAAAGCUAGGGGAGCAAACAGGAUUAGAUACCCUGGUAGUCCUAGCCCUAAACGAUGAUUGCUUGGUGUGGC
rnacentral:rRNA from 1 species